CACCCUCGACCAAUAUCAUCCCUCGGGCCUAAAGGCCCUUGGACUGAUAUUGGUGUCUCGGCAUGAUACGACAUAUGAUACGAAUUUUGCCAUGUAUUAUUCUUUAUCAUAUAUUUAGUACAAAAUACAGCUAUUUUGUAUAUCUAAUAAAGGUUGUUUUUCCAGUCUGUAUCACCUACCCUGUAUCGCAUACCCCGUAUCGCAUAGCUAAACCCGUAUCGCAUACCCUGUAUCGCAUGGUAAAACCCGUAUCGCAU
rnacentral:lncRNA from 1 species